ensembl:snoRNA small nucleolar RNA, H/ACA box 5C
UGCAGUCAAGUCAAAUUCAGCCCCCGUUCCCAUCGUAGCGGGCGCUGGCCCAGAUGGCUGCCACAGCAAGCCCUGCAGCUCAUGGGCCCCGGGUCCCCCUGCGUGGGGCCUGGGGAUAAGUUUGGCUGCACACAGGG